UACGAAGGGGGCUAGCGUUGCUCGGAAUCACUGGGCGUAAAGCGCACGUAGGCGGCUUUUCAAGUCAGGGGUGAAAUCCUGGAGCUCAACUCCAGAACUGCCUUUGAUACUGAAGAGCUCGAGUCCGGGAGAGGUGAGUGGGAACUGGCGAGUGUAGAGGUGAAAUUCGUAGAUAUUCGCAAGAACACCAGUGGCGAAGGCGGCUCACUGGCCCGGUACCUGACGCUGAGGUGCGAAAGCGUGGGGAGCAAACAGGG
rnacentral:rRNA from 1 species